CAGUUGCCACGGGAAUACGGAGGGAGCUAGCGUUGUUCGGAAUCACUGGGCGUAAAGCGCACGUAGGCGGCUAUUCAAGUCAGGGGUGAAAGCCCGGGGCUCAACCCCGGAACUGCCUUUGAAACUAGAUAGCUUGAAUCUUGGAGAGGCGAGUGGAAUUCCGAGUGUAGAGGUGAAAUUCGUAGAUAUUCGGAAGAACACCAGUGGCGAAGGCAGCUUCUUGGUCCAUUCCUGACGUUCAUACACGAAAGCGUGGGGAGCAAACAGGAUUAGAUACCCCGGUAGUCCCUGUCUCUUAUAC
rnacentral:rRNA from 1 species